rnacentral:misc_RNA from 1 species
GAUGAAGAACGUAGCGAAAUGCGAUAACUAAUGUGAAUUGCAGAAUUCAGUGAAUCAUCGAGUCUUUGAACGCACAUUGCGCCCCCUGGUAUUCCGGGGGGCAUGCCUGUCCGAGCGUCAUUGCUGCCCUCAAGCACGGCUUGUGUGUUGGGCUCCGUCCCCCCGGGGACGGGCCCGAAAGGCAGCGGCGGCACCGAGUCCGGUCCUCGAGCGUAUGGGGCUUUGUCACCCGCUCUGUAGGCCCGGCCGGCGCCAGCCGACAACCCAUCAUCCUUUUCAGGUUGACCUCGGAUCAGGUAGGGAUACCCGCUGAACUUAAGCAUAUCAAAAGCGGAGGA